UUAGAUUCCUGUACCACGCAUUAUCAGAACUGUAGGGACGCAUGUGGAAAGCACGAGCCGGGAAUGGAAAGACCGGUACAAGCGGGGUAGGUGUACAAUAGGCAAAUCCGUUGUAUAAUCCGAAGACGUGAUGUGGAGCGAAAUAAAGUAGCGAAGCGUGUGAGCCAUGUGCCGAGAAAAGCUGCUAUUGUGUAAUGCGUGCCCGUACCGUAAACCGACACAGGUGGAUGAGGAGAGAAUCCUAAGGCCGACGGAAGAAGCAUUGUUAAGGAAUUCGGCAAAAUGACCCCGUAACUUCGGGAGAAGGGGUGCCUGCGAGAGCAGGCCGCAGAGAAUAGGCUCAAGCAACUGUUUAGCAAAAACACAGGUCUAUGCGAAACCGAAAGGUGAAGUAUAUGGGCUGACGCCUGCCCGGUGCUGGAAGGUUAAGAGGAGAGGUUAGCGCAAGCGAAGCUUUGAAUUUAAGCCCCAGUAAACGGCGGCCGUAACUAUAACGGUCCUAAGGUAGCGAAAUUCCUUGUCGGGUAAGUUCCGACCCGCACGAAAGGCGUAAUGAUUUGAGCGCUGUCUCGACAAUGCAUCCGGUGAAAUUGAAGUACCAGUGAAGAUGCUGGUUACCCGCGCCAGGACGGAAAGACCCCAUGGAGCUUUACUCCAGUUUGAUACUGGGAUUCGGUACUGCAUGUACAGGAUAGGUGGGAGACGAAGAAGGAUGGACGCCAGUCUGUCCGGAGUCGCUGUUGGGAUACCACCCCUGUAGUACUGGGUUUCUAACCAGUUGCCAUGAACUGGCAAUGGGACAAUGUCAGGCGGGGAGUUUGACUGGGGCGGUCGCCUCCGAAAGGGUAUCGGAGGCGCUCAAAGGUUCCCUCAGAAUGGUUGGAAACCAUUCGAAGAGUGCAAAGGCAGAAGGGAGCUUGACUGCGACACCGACGGGUGGAGCAGGUACGAAAGUAGGACUUAGUGAUCCGGUGGUAUAAAGUGGGAUUGCCAUCGCUCAACGGAUAAAAGCUACCCUGGGGAUAACAGGCUUAUCACUCCCAAGAGUUCACAUCGACGGAGUGGUUUGGCACCUCGAUGUCGGCUCAUCGCAUCCUGGGGCUGUAGUAGGUCCCAAGGGUUGGGCUGUUCGCCCAUUAAAGCGGUACGCGAGCUGGGUUCAGAACGUCGUGAGACAGUUCGGUCCCUAUCCGGCGCGGGCGUAGGAUAUUUGAGAGGAGCUGUCCUUAGUACGAGAGGACCGGGAUGGACAGACCGCUGGUGUACCUGUUGGCCUACCAAGGCCAUGGCAGGGUAGCCAAGUCUGGACGGGAUAAACGCUGAAGGCAUCUAAGCGUGAAGCCCCCCUCAAGAUGAGAUAUCCCAUCGCAAGAGUAAGACCCCUUGAAGACGACGAGGUAGAUAGGUCAGAGGUGGAAGUGCAGCAAUGCAUGGAGCUGACUGAUACUAAUCGGUCGAGGGCUUGACCAG
rnacentral:rRNA from 1 species